rnacentral:rRNA from 1 species
UACGUAGGGUGCAAGCGUUGUCCGAAAUUAUUGGGCGUAAAGAGCUCGUAGGCGGUUUGUCGCGUCGGCUGUGAAAACCCGGGGCUCAACCCCGGGCCUGCAGUCGAUACGGGCAGGCUAGAGUUCGGCAGGGGAGACUGGAAUUCCUGGUGUAGCGGUGAAAUGCGCAGAUAUCAGGAGGAACACCGGUGGCGAAGGCGGGUCUCUGGGCCGAUACUGACACUGAGGAGCGAAAGCGUGGGGAGCGAACAGG